AGCUGAUCUUGAUGAUGAUAACGUCGUAAGGUGAGUUCUGCAAUUCAAGAGCAUUGAUGAUCGAAGUCAAGUAUAUAUAGUUUAUAUUAUACUUAACCAUUAUAUAUUUGUUUGUUACAGUGCUGCAGAGUUUGUUAUAAUGAAGCUAAAAGAGAUGGAGAAGAUCACUGCCGAGGAUGUCACUAUGUUGAUGGAGUGCUUCAGGAAUGAUUCAGGAACAUUGACAGCAGCCGACAUAAUAAACACAGAAUAAUCUGCAUUCCGCACGGUGAACUCAAUUACGUUGAUGGAGAUUGACACGUUCAUAGAUUCCGAGUUCAAGCGUAACACAUCUGCUGUUUGUUUACUUGAAGAGGAAAGAGAAAAUGAGUGGCUUCAAUCAGUUGCUGCUGAAUGCAACAUCUCUGAGACAAACAAUACGUGGUAAAUAGUUUUUCGCGGAGCUCGGUGAUGAUGAUGAUUAUGGAAGAAACGAGCUGAUUUUACUGUCUCAUUUUACAUGGUAUUGCAUUGGCGUGCAAAUCAUAAAGCCAAAUGUCAACAAUUAAGUGUUUCUUCCAAGUAUCUGAUAUUCUGAUGGUAGAUGUAUUGAUGAUGGCUCUUCAAAUGAGAUUAUCAUAGGUUUGUCAAUCAUCAUACGCAAUCUCAAAAAAGAGCAUGCUUGGCUUGAUGAAGGAAGGGAUAUUAAAUGGUUAACCUGUCAUUCAAUGUGGCUGUAAUCUCCUGGUGUCCUAUGCGGUUGCUGUAAUGAUUUUGUGGCUUUAAAGUAAGGAAAAGAACCAUGGAAUUCUGUUUAGUUUAGUUUGUUGAAUUUCUUGGAACCACCUUGCUGCAUGUUAGUAUAAGAUUACAAGGCUGUCUUGAAGUCUGACACUGCUAUGUGCCUGCGUUGAAGCUCUUAUCACAUUUCAACGUCUUAAGUGCUACGCAUCAGACUAUGAUUCAUGGCUGGAGCCUGGGAGGAGAUGAAUUGCGACUUUGUAGUAGAAUGCAAAAGUAUUUAAAGUGUAUAUAAAUAUUGUUUUACUUAAUCUCUCUUUGAACAAAUAUCUGGUUGUAUGUUUGCUUUAGGGGUUCAAAUUUGCUUUUUUUAUAUUAGCACGCAUCGCGUGCAUAUAAGACUAGUUGUUAAUAUGU